rnacentral:rRNA from 1 species
AUAUCUCGGUUUUGGUGGGGUGAUGAUGCAACUCACAAGAGGAUGCACUGGUUCGCAUGGUGGAAGAUGUGCAUUCCAAAAAAACAAGGUGGAAUGAGCUUUAGAGACAUCCACUGUUUUAAUUUGACUUUACUGGCAAAACAGGCGUGGAGACUUAUUGAUAAUCCCGAUUCUCUUUGUGCGACGAUCCUCAAAGCGAAAUAUUUCGGUGAUGGAGAUCUCUUGAAUGCUACAUUGAAGAAGAAAUCCUCGUAUACUUGGCAAAGUAUUAUGGCUGGUGUUGAAGUCCUGAAGAUUGGGCACAUAUGGAGAGUCGGUGAUGGGACAAAAAUUAAGAUUUGGAAGGACGAAUGGAUUCCGCAAUCCCCAACCAGAAAGGUAUUAACUACUCGUGGUAACCAUCUUCUAUCACAUGUGCGUGAUCUCAUUGACCCUAUGACGGGUGAUUGGGACGAACAACUUGUUAGGCAAACAUUCUGGCAGGUGGAUGCUCAACGCAUACUUGCAAUUCCACUAGCUUUGAAUGAUAUGACCGAUUUUGUCGCGUGGAAUAUGACUAGAACAGGAGUAUUCACAGUACGGUCAGCUUACCAUGGUGUAGUCUCAGUACGGUUAUAA